rnacentral:rRNA from 1 species
CCUACGGGAGGCAGCAGUCGAGAAUCAUUCGCAAUGGGCGAAAGCCUGACGGUGCGACGCCGCGUGGAGGAUGAAGGCCCUAGGGUCGUAAACUCCUGUCACCAGGGAGUAAAUGUUUGCGUAGUAACUGACGCAGGCCUUGAUAGUACCUGAAGAGGAAGGGACGGCAAACUUCGUGCCAGCAGCCGCGGUAAUACGAAGGUCCCAAGCGUUGUUCGGAUUUACUGGGCGUAAAGCGUCUGUAGGCGGCGCGGUAAGUCAGAUGUGAAAUCCCGGGGCUCAACCCCGGAACUGCAUCCGAUACUGCCGUGCUUGAGGGUCGGAGGGGAGUCUGGAAUUCUCGGUGUAGCAGUGAAAUGCGUAGAUAUCGAGAGGAACACUAGUGGCGAAGGCGAGACUCUGGACGACACCUGACGCUGAGAGACGAAGGCCAGGGGAGCGAAAAGGAUUAGAUACCCUUGUAGUCCUGGCAGUAAACGGUGCACGCUUGGUGUGGGAGGGUUCGACCCCUUCCGUGCCGGAGCUAACGCGUUAAGCGUGCCGCCUGGGGAGUACGGUCGCAAGAUUAAAACUCAAACGAAUUGACGG